UCGUGAGUCUUCCCAUAGCACGCCCGUCCACCUGAUUCUUCUCCCUCCCUGAGUUCUUCUGCUCCUCGCGCCCCGCCGACGCCCCUGACGGAAACUCCUCCCCGCUCCUUGCCAUCCCCGUACCAUGGGCGAUGCCACCGUCGAAGACGCCCCCACCAGCUACAUCAUUCAGCACCCUACGCUGCCUUCCCUGCCUCUUCUGUGCCCACGUUCCUCCCCCUCUCUGUUCUGGAGGAUGUCGACAUGGCCGCCGCCGGGGACCACGCAUCCAAGCUUCAAGACCUCGAUAAGAUGAAGCGCCGGCUCAAGGAGAUGAAGGAGGAGGCCACCGCGCUCCGCGAGAUGCAAGCCAAGGUCGCCAAGGAGAUGCAAGGUUGGCCCCUUCUUCUAUGUCUCGUCUACCACGUGUGUUAUCCAAAUUCUUUCACCAAGAAAAUCCCCAGAUCCGCCGUGGCAGCUUCGAAUUCGAUCCCCUCCCUGAGUCGACUCUAUCUGAUCGCCAGAUCGAGGAUAUCGGCCACCGACCAUGUGAGUGGCUUUGUGCCUGGCGUCGUGCUGUGCGGCGUGUGCAUGCGAGGCGUGAUGGACGGCGGUGAGCAGCAUCGUCGCAAUGCCACUGUAUGUCGCCACCGCCACGGCGCUGCUCAUCGGGGGCCUCGCAGUGCCGCUGUGCUCAAUUAGGCAUUGCCUCGCACCGCCUCCUGGUUCUUUUCUCUUUUUGCAGGCAUCAUUUUUGCACCCCCCACCCCACAGAUUGCUCCAGGGAUGAAUCCGCUCCUCCCUCACGUCGGCAUGGCUCACUGUCACGAUGGUCGUAGCGUCGUGUCUUAUUUGUAUGCUCACUGUUGUGAGCAGUGCUCCUCACCAAGUUCCUAGUUUCUUCCUUCCAUCAGACUGGGGAGAGGCCAAGGAAGGAUCCCUCCCUCCUGAAAGUGAAUCGCAAAAGAAAGAAAGAAAGAAAGAAGAUUGCACGAUUACAGAGCCAUCAUACCAAAAAUUAGCUUCUCUUCUGGAUUAUUCCUUGCCUUGCAUUAUGAGUUUCUCCACAUGGAUGUACAUGACAUCCACUCUUUGGUUAAGGAUGACAUGAUUCAGUUUUAGGUGUCUAACUAACAGUUUUGCGCUUUUUGUAUUGAGGGUACUAUGAUCUGAUAUGUUUAUUGAAAAUUCUUUUAUAACUCACGGUGCACUGGAAUGAUACUCGGCCUGGACUUUGCCUCUGGGGAGGCAAAUUGAUGCCUCGUCAGAUAGUGGAAAGCCUGUACCUUUAAUGUAUUUUUUUAGACCUAGGCCUUUAAUGUAGUUAGAAUUGCUCUAUAAUUAUAUGUAGUAUUAUGCUACUGAAUCCUUUUUGAUGUUCAUAGAAAAAAGCGAGUGUAUUUCACAUGUUUCGCCAUUUUUGUUUUGGUAGGUUAUCCCAAGAUAGUGCUUUUACCUUGCAGUAGAUUGCUUCAACAGGGAAAAAAAACUGGAAGAGAAAGAUGCCUGAGGCCAAGAAUAUGAAAGUAGCAGGUGCCACACACAAUUCUGUUGAAUUUGUACAUUGAUAGCUCCAGAUCUAUAUAAUGAUCUCAUAUAAAUUCAGACAUCCAUCGCCACUUUUCACAUUGGCUUAUCAAUCAGGCAUCAUUGUAAUCGUCGAAUAUGUUAGCUGAUCUUCAUGUCAGUUCUAUGGCUUUAUUGACUCAUCAAUUUUAUGUGCUGUGUGUGGGAGGCUGCUCAAAUGCUCAACAAAGUGUAAGAGAUUCAACAAAGCGUUUUUGUGGGAACAAAAUAUUCAGAUUCAGUUUUCAUCCGGGAGAGGCGGCGUUUGUGUCACAGCGAGCGCGAGGGUUGUGGGCCUCGUCAUGGCAGAGACAAUCUCGGCGACCUCCUCCGACCUGAGAAUGUCAUGUGGCUGGCGAUGCGCUGCCACCAUCACCUUCUCCACCACGCUGCCCCCUCGCUCUCACUAUCUGGUGACAAAUGGAGUAUAGAGUUAGGGUUUGGUCCGGCGACGAUUUUGUUCUUGGCGUAGUCGUCCUCAGCCACCAGAUUCAAUCCAACAUUUGUAAUCCUUUUUGUAUUGGGCUGUAUUUUCAGUCAAGAGCCCAACUAAUUUAUGUUUUCUUACCUUUUUCCAUGAGCUGCUAAAUUGUUCUACGGCCAAGCAGAAAGCAAAUUUUGGGCUUCAAUUAUUUUCAGCGUCCCUAUGAUCUUUAACACUGUUUCUCCCUUACGUACUAUUCAAAUUAACGUUUACUCACCAAAAUUCAUGCAGCUAAAUUAUGAAAAAUUAUAAUUAGUCUCCAAUUAUAAUAGACAUUUUCAAUGUUAAUUUCGAGACUAAACACAACAUUCAAUUCUGCUUUUACCAUUAGUAUCGAAAUUACAACCAAUAUCAUCAUUUGAUUUCACGAAGUAGCUCCCAACAAGUAGCUCCCAGGUUUUCUCUAAAUUCCAUAUAAGUUCUUAAACUUCUCCACACAAACACAGAGGUCUAUGUCUAAAGCGGAAUUCUCUGCUCUAUAUCUCGACAUCAACAGACCAAAGCCUGAACAUGUUCUGCCUCCAAGCCUUUCCCUGACUGAUGGAGCAGCUGAUCCAACACCACAGCUAUAGGGAAAAACUAUAGAUUGAGGUAAUGUGAUAUGAAAUUUCUAAUUCAUUGUGAAGCUACAGAUUAUAGCAGACCGCUGGAUUAAUGUAGCUUUGAGCCUAACCUUGGAUUUGGUAGUACUGUUACUUCUUGGCCAAUAUGAUUUCUUCAGAUUGAAUUUGUUCAUUUGUAACUCAUUUGUUAUGGCAUAAUGUUCUUUCAGAAUUCACUUACAAGUUACAAACCUGAAAAAUAUGUGCAGUAUCUUCCAUGCGAAAUUGAUUUCUGUUUUGUUAAUAAUGUCAUAUGUUAACCUAUGUUAGACAUGGAUUUGACUAAUGUCUCUUUUAUCAAGAGUAUUUAUUUUACGAUCUAAUUAUCCAGUCAAUUAUUUCCCUGUAAAAGGGAUACUUAUGCACUCUUCCUGAGAAUAUGAUGAGUUCAUAGCUAAGUAGGUCAUCUAAUUUUCAAGAGAGGCUACCAAAAACAUAAAAGAUUAAACUCACUUGGUAUUUUCUGCACAUCUUCCAACAGAAAGAAAGGAGCUGCUUUUGGCUGCAAGAUGCGAUUUAUCUUUAAUCUUUGCAUGUUCUAGGACAAUAUUUUUCGUACAAAACCUGCAUCUUAUCUUUCACGAGUUUUGUAACCAAUAAUA